rnacentral:lncRNA from 1 species
CAAUGAAAACUGCACUAUUGUUUCCUUUAAUAAUAAACAUACUACUCAUUCUUCUCUGUUCUUGAGUAGUUUACACCAACUACCAUUGCUAAGAUGAUGAGAUGGUCAAAAUUCGAAAACGCCUUUUUGUUUAUUGGCUUUCAUUUGAUAUUUACAGUCUUUAAUUUGGAGAGAAAAGAAGUCAAACCAACUAGAACAUGAGCUCUUAGGAAAACAUAGAAAUGGUGAAACCAUGCGAGAAAAUAAAGAGUAAUUUUACUACAUGACAAUUAGCGAUUAAAAAGCUAUUCAGCUAUUUCCAUGUUGGAGUUGUCCCGUAUAACCAAUCGCGUUUUAAUUCAAUUUUUACUCGAGAGCUUCUUUCUUCUUUCUCUUUGGCUCAUCUUUUUCAUCGAUCAAUCAAUCAACUACAAGCUAAAAGAAAAAAAAAAUCAGUCAGUAUCAUUCCUCCGAGUAGGACAAAGAGAAAGGAGACAAGACUCACAUUCCCCUACUUUGUCAAUCAAAGUCUCAUUUAAUCUAUUCUUGAAAGUGUAUGAAUAGAAGACCAUUUUCUAGAAUGUCUUGUAUUCAGGCCUCCAUUGGCCUUCGGGGGUACUCCAUUCGCCCACAUGCUCAGCUGAACCAAGCCACACAGGCCUUAAAAGACAAACAAGCAGAUUCUCGGAUUGAAGAAGCAGUGACUGUCAUUGAUGAAGUCCAGCAUCAGGAGCCUACAUUCUCAAAUUAGUUGGAAUCAUCGGUUAAAUGAACAUUUCGAAACCACUCAAAGGAUUUUAUCAUAAUUAAACUACUUUUAUGUUUGCCAUCAACUACAAUAACCAAACCGUCUUGGAACUGACUAUACUUGAUACAAUAAUGAAAGCUUUGUCUUGCUUUAACCGAAAAUGACUAUUCUUUUUAAAGAAAAGAGAAAAAACGAUGCUACUUCAUUUGGAAUAAUGGUGCAAUUGCAACCGAGACACAACCCAACGAAUUUCACCCUCCGUACUUUUCACUUUAAAAAAGUGAAAAAUAUAAACUACUCCACUUUUGAUUACAAAACAAGGACAUCCAAAUUGGAUAACGAAGACUAAAAAGUACUAUAAGCAAAGAAGCCAUUCGUGUUAUUUCUAUCCCAGUCCAACUUUUAUUGACAACAACAAUGUUAGCAAUAAUAACAUCGAAUUUUCACAGAAGGUGCGGAUGUCGACCUUAUCCUUACCCUUACUCCUAUGAUAGCAACAACAACAAAUCAAGUAAAUUUACACAAAUAAAAUUUAGAGAGAGUAAUAUGUAUAUAGACUUGCUCUAGAAUAUUAAAACACUGUUAGGAUAGACCCUCUGCUUAACAAAUGUCAAAAUCAAAACUCACAAAUCACAACUAUCAUUCUAUUCUAACACCUCUUCCUCAGAACAAGAAGAAAAAGAAGAUAGAGAAACCUUUUCGUUCUCCAAGGCAAAAUCUUCGGCCCAACCAAUAAAAAAUUCUCAAGUAGUAGGCUAUAAUUUUUAACAAGAAAGAAAAAGGCAUUUCGCAUCAGAUUUCUGAAUUCUCAUCUCUCCCAACAAGAAAAGAAACCCCUAUAGAUCUAAUAAGUUUUCACCAAAAAAUAAAAAUUUUAAAACCAAAAAAUAUACUACAGUAUAUACUACGUAUUUAUUUUACUAAAAUAGCGCUUAC